UGCUCGGAGGUUGGGUUAUACUCCGAGGUCGCCCCAGCCGAAAUUUUUAAUGCAGGUUUGGUAGGGUACCACGGCCGUUAAACAUAUGUCACUGGGCAGGCGGUGCCUCUAAUACUGGUAAUGCUAGAGGUGAUGUUUUUGGUAAACAGGCGGGGUAAGAUUUGCCGAGUUCCUUUUACUUUUUUUAACCUUUCCUUGUGGGCAUGCCUGUGUUGGGUUAACAGUAGGAGUAAUACAGUUUCAUUUUUUUACAUAUGGCUUGCUAAUUAUCCCAGCACCAUUUGUUGAAUAGGGUGUCCUUUACCCACUUUAUGUUUUUGUUUACUUUGUCAAAGAUCAGUUGGCUGUAA
rnacentral:lncRNA from 1 species